rnacentral:rRNA from 1 species
GACGAACGCUGGCGGCGUGCUUAACACAUGCAAGUCGAACGCUGGAGCUUGGUGCUUGCUCUGGGUGGGUGAGUGGCGGACGGGUGAGUAAUACGUGGAUAACCUGCCUUUGACUCUGGGAUAAGCCUGGGAAACUGGGUCUAAUACUGGAUACGACUUUUCACCGCAUGGUUGUGUGUGGAAAGGGGGUUAUUGGGUUUGGAUGGGCUCACGGCCUAUUAGCUUGUUGGUGGGGUAAUGGCACACCAAGGCGAGGACGGGUAGCCCGCCUGAGAGGGUGACCGGCCACACUGGGACUGAGACACGGCCCAGACUCCUACGGGAGGCAGCAGUGGGGAAUCUUGCAGAAUGGGCGGAAGCCUGAUGCAGCGACGCCGCGUGCGGGAUGAUGGCCUUCGGGUUGUAAACCUCUGUCAGAGUGGAAGAAGCGAAAGUGACGGUACGUGCAGAAGAAGCGCCGGCUAACUACGUG